rnacentral:lncRNA from 1 species
UCAAAAUUUCUUUUAACCUUUAAUUUUUUAAAAACAAGAUCAAUAAUAUAAGUACAUCAAAAGACUUUGUAGUUCAACUCUCAAACUUGUCUUUACAAAAAUUUCGUGUUUUGAAGUAUCUUUUUUAAAACAAGACUUAACUAUUUGAAUUUUUUGUCUAGUAUAUAAGACAAAGUUUAUAAGAAAAACUCCAUUUGUUUGAAAAACCUUCCAAAUGUAUAUUAAAUACACAUGUAUGUUGUAAAAUCUAUUAAUGAAUAAAUAAAUAAAUAAAUCAUAUACUUGUUUUAUAUCUUUUUAAUAUUUUUAACUAACUCUUUAUUGAAACAUAGCAAAAAAAAAUUAAAUUAUUUAAAAAUACCUUACAUUAUAACAAUCAUUCAUCUAUAUAUAUUAAUGCUAUGUUUAUAAAAUUUAUUUUUUGGUACUAAAUCCAUUUAUUGUUAUUGCUUACUUAAUACACAAAACAAAGUCUCCAAAAAUAUUACAGUUACAAUCUAUUGUCUAUCUAUCCACUACUAGUAUACUUCAACAUAAGCAAUUAAAAAUCUCUAAUAAAUUGCAACAAAAUUAUGAGAAAUUACAAGGACUAUAAAAGGUCAAAACAACUAGUGCUAGCUAGUCUAAUUAAUUUUAUUUUUAAUUCAUUUACAAUCUUCUAUUUUAAAACCACCUAUCAAAUUAAAUAUCUAUACAUCUUUAUUUUAGAGCAGUAACUUUUAAAAAAAGCCUAUAUAUUUAUAUUCUUGAAUUUCAAAAACUAGUGUAUUCUUAUUCAUUUUAUUAUAUUUAUAUUUGUUUUAUCAUACCUUGGUUUUUUAUUUUAAAUAUAAUUAGAAUUUGAAAAUUUUAUUUGAUGAUACGAUAAAACUAAAUAAACACAAUGCAUGGAUUGUGUGUGAAUGGAGAUCACUGACAAUAGUAAAAAGAAAUUUAAUCAGAGGCAUGACUAAGACCUUUACUCGACCAGUUCUAAAACCCACUAGAUUAUGUAGUGUGAGCAUCAGCCCCUAUGCUCACACUACAUAAGCAACAAAAUAAAGCGAGGUGAUCUCACCUAUGGCAAUGCUACAAGCUCAAUUACCAUCCUUCAGUCAAGCAGCCGCCCCGAUCUCCUCGAUGCUCGGAUUUCGGUGAUAGUUUGUUGGAUUCAGACGUUACGGGGCUUCAACACCACCAAAAUUCGUAGCAAUCGAAUGAUUGAGCGUUGAACCUUGCUUCUCCAAAUCUAAGUAAUCCAAACUGCCAAGGCAGUGGACCACUCGAAUUGUUCCCAACUUGACUCCAAUUUCAAUGAUACUUGCUUGCUCGGAAAGCUAAGAUAGACAGGUUUCUACCCGAGGAAAUUCAAAAAUCCAAGAGACCGAUUGAAAGAAAAGCGAGGCUCCCAAACAAAGUAGAGACUAACGAAUAAUGGUGAAACUAACUGUGUUGAGGAGUGCACUCACAGGUCGGAAAGCUAACACAGAGAGGCUCCUACCAGAGGAAAUUCACCAACCCAACAGACUGAUUGCAGGAAAACCGAGGCUCCCCCAACUAAGAAACGACUCACGAACAAUGGUGUAUCUAACUGUGUUAAGCACUACACUCCCAGAGCUACCAAGAUCCAGCGAACAUCAGCAUCAGAACUGAAGUGUUUUUGUGGAAAAAAACAGAAAGUAAACAACCCAAAUAGGAUUCUCCUGGCUUGGGCGACCAACUUCUAGUAAUGGAUGCGUGAGAGAAUAAUCGAGAAAACAGAAGAGAGGAAACGAAAGAAAGAGAGAGAGGACACCAGAAAAAGCGAGCCGAGGAAAAAGUAGAGUAGGCAGGCGGACCAAGAGAGGGAGAGAGUCUAGAGACCCCCCUCGUGAAGGAACUGUUCCCGGACCUGGCAUUCGGCUUCCGCUUCCACCGUUCCUGCGUCAACCACAUGAUUGCUC